UUUACCGUGAAAAAAUUAGAGUGUUCAAAGCGGGCAGAUAUUUUUCCUGCCACCGAAUACAUUAGCAUGGGAUAAUGGAAUAGGACCCUGACCUCCUAUUUUCAGUUGGUUUUGUUUACAGCGAGGUUAUAUCAGGGUAAUGAUUAAUAGGGAUAGUUGGGGGCAUUAAUAUUUAAUUGUCAGAGGUGAAAUUCUUGGAUUUAUGAAAGAUUAACUUCUGCGAAAGCGUUUGCCAAGGAUGUUUUCAUUAAUCAAGAACGAAAGUUAGGGGAUCGAAGACGAUCAGAUACCGUCGUAGUCUUAACCAUAAACGAUGCCGACCAGCGAUUAGGAGACGUUGAAUACAAAAC
rnacentral:rRNA from 1 species